UAGGGAAUAUUGCGCAAUGGGGGAAACCCUGACGCAGCGACGCCGCGUGAGUGAUGAAGGACUUCGGUUCGUAAAGCUCUGUCGCAGGGGAAUAAUUUCGAAUGUACCCUGUAAGAAAGGAUCGGCUAACUUCGUGCCAGCAGCCGCGGUAAGACGAGGGAUCCAAGCGUUGUUCGGAAUCAUUGGGCGUAAAGCGGGUGUAGGCGGCUCUAUAAGUCAGAUGUGAAAGCCCUGGGCUCAACCCGGGAAGUGCAUUUGAUACUGUAGAGCUUGAGUGUGGGAGAGGCUAGUGGAAUUCCUGGUGUAGUGGUGAAAUACGUAGAUAUCAGGAGGAACAUCGGUGGCGAAGG
rnacentral:rRNA from 1 species